rnacentral:rRNA from 1 species
AUGAACUACUUGAAAUAUGAGCUACACAAUCAAAAGUUUUUGGUGUCGACGAGGGACUUCGGCACGGGGAUAAAUCGCCAGCCUAAAGCAGUUGAGGAGCAGCACCUUGUUAGUGCCGCCAUGGCAUCCCUCAACCUAGUCUGCUCAGUGCUGGUCUCGCCUGAGCUGCAGAUCAGCAACCGCCGGGAGAUUGACGCACUCGGACUGCAGUUGGUCCAGAUGAAUAUUGAAUCCUCCAGCAAGGAUGAUCUCGGCCACGCCUCACCAGGGAAGAGCAGCAAUGCCAGUAAAGACGAGACGAAGCCCAGAAGAGGAGUUCAAAGCACAACCGGUGGCAUGGACAGUGUCAAAUAA